rnacentral:rRNA from 1 species
ACACAUGCAGUCGAGCGGAGAUGAGGUGCUUGCACCUUAUCUUAGCGGCGGACGGGUGAGUAAUGCUUAGGAAUCUGCCUAUUAGUGGGGGACAACAUUUCGAAAGGAAUGCUAAUACCGCAUACGCCCUACGGGGGAAAGCAGGGGAUCUUCGGACCUUGCGCUAAUAGAUGAGCCUAAGUCGGAUUAGCUAGUUGGUGGGGUAAAGGCCUACCAAGGCGACGAUCUGUAGCGGGUCUGAGAGGAUGAUCCGCCACACUGGGACUGAGACACGGCCCAGACUCCUACGGGAGGCAGCAGUGGGGAAUAUUGGACAAUGGGGGGAACCCUGAUCCAGCCAUGCCGCGUGUGUGAAGAAGGCCUUUUGGUUGUAAAGCACUUUAAGCGAGGAGGAGGAGCUCUAGAUUAAUACUCUAGAUGCUUGGACGUUACUCGCAGAAUAAGCACCGGCUAACUCUGUGCCAGCAGCCGCGGUAAUACAGAGGGUGCAAGCGUUAAUCGGAUUUACUGGGCGUAAAGCGUGCGUAGGUGGUCUUUUAAGUCGGAUGUGAAAUCCCUGAGCUUAACUUAGGAAUUGCAUUCGAUACUGGGAGACUAGAGUAUGGGAGAGGAUGGUAGAAUUCCAGGUGUAGCGGUGAAAUGCGUAGAGAUCUGGAGGAAUACCGAUGGCGAAGGCAGCCAUCUGGCCUAAUACUGACACUGAGGUACGAAAGCAUGGGGAGCAAACAGGAUUAGAUACCCUGGUAGUCCAUGCCGUAAACGAUGUCUACUAGCCGUU